CCCCCCUUAGCUCAGUUGGUCAGAGCGCGCGGCUGUAGACCGUGAGGUCCUCGGCUCAAAUGGGUUUUCCAUUUAGGAAAUAAUGGGUAUCCGAGAGGGGGGA
rnacentral:tRNA from 1 species